GACGAACGCUGGCGGCGUGCUUAACACAUGCAAGUCGAACGGAAAGGCCCUGCUUGCAGGGUACUCGAGUGGCGAACGGGUGAGUAACACGUGGGUGAUCUGCCCUGCACUUCGGGAUAAGCUUGGGAAACUGGGUCUAAUACCGGAUAGGAGCCAUCUUUAGUGUGGUGGUUGGAAAGUUUUUUCGGUGUAGGAUGAGCUCGCGGCCUAUCAGCUUGUUGGUGGGGUAAUGGCCUACCAAGGCGGCGACGGGUAGCCGGCCUGAGAGGGUGUACGGCCACAUUGGGACUGAGAUACGGCCCAGACGCCUACGGGAGGCAGCAGUGGGGAAUAUUGCACAAUGGGCGCAAGCCUGAUGCAGCGACGCCGCGUGGGGGAGGAAGGCCUUCGGGUUGUAAACUCCUUUCGCUAGGGACGAAGCUUUUUGUGACGGUACCUAGAUAAGAAGCACCGGCUAACUACGUG
rnacentral:rRNA from 1 species